rnacentral:rRNA from 1 species
UUAGUGUUAUUUGUGAUGACUGGGCGUAAAGGGUACGUAGGCUGUUAUGCAAAAGUAUAGAAAAAGACUGAGGUACCCCCUCUUUCCACUAUGCUCACUACAUAACUUGAGUUCGUUAGGUGGUCUCAGAACUUCUAAUGGAGGGGUGAAAUCCGUUGAUAUUAAAAGGACUUUCAGUGGCGAAAGCAUUGACCAAUUUCGAUCUGACGCUAAGGUACGAGAGCGUGGGGAGCAAAGAGGAUUAGAGACCCUCGUAGUCCACGCCGUAAACAAUGAGUGUAAACAUCUACGUCUGCACU